rnacentral:rRNA from 1 species
GAGUUUGAUCAUGGCUCAGAUUGAACGCUGGCGGAAUGCUUUACACAUGCAAGUCGAACGGCAGCACGGGAGCUUGCUCCUGGUGGCGAGUGGCGAACGGGUGAGUAAUGCGUCGGAACGUACCGAGUAAUGGGGGAUAACGCAGCGAAAGCUGUGCUAAUACCGCAUACGCCCUGAGGGGGAAAGCAGGGGAUCGCAAGACCUUGCGUUAUUCGAGCGGCCGACGUCUGAUUAGCUAGUUGGUGGGGUAAAGGCCUACCAAGGCGACGAUCAGUAGCGGGUCUGAGAGGAUGAUCCGCCACACUGGAACUGAGACACGGUCCAGACUCCUACGGGAGGCAGCAGUGGGGAAUUUUGGACAAUGGGGGAAACCCUGAUCCAGCCAUUCCGCGUGAGUGAAGAAGGCCUUCGGGUUGUAAAGCUCUUUCAGCUGGAAAGAAACGGUACGCACUAACAUUGUGUGCUAAUGACGGUACCAGCAGAAGAAGCACCGGCUAACUACGUGCCAGCAGCCGCGGUAAUACGUAGGGUGCGAGCGUUAAUCGGAAUUACUGGGCGUAAAGCGUGCGCAGGCGGAUUGUUAAGCAAGAUGUGAAAUCCCCGGGCUUAACCUGGGAAUGGCAUUUUGAACUGGCAGUCUAG